CAUAGAUCCACACACAGAGCUUCCUUGGAUAACCUCAGAGCCUAGGCUGGACAGUUCACGGUGCUGUUUCCCUUAAGGUAGAUGGGUCCUAAGCUGUCUUUAUAAGUCAAAACAUAAGCCUUGAAUGCCCAACGAUAAACUAGCAGCCAGUGCAAAGUCAUUAAGGAUCACACACUGUUAUAGGGUCUCCUGCCACAAGACUCAUUAAGAUAAUAGCUGCUGUAUUUUGCACCAGUUGUAGUCUCCAGACCACCUUCAAGGAAUAUGUUCUUGUCGUUGUUGGCAUUUGUCUGUCUCGAGAGACAAUAGAGUGCGCCUCCAGGGGUCAAAUCAAACUGUUGCACUAGCAGCACCAAAGUGACCUCCUGGGGCACAAGCCUGGGCAUUGUGUAUGGAGGUCCUGGGCUGCCCAGACGCCUCACUGGUGUGGACCAAAGGGAAGCAGAGCAAUAUGUUUGGCACCAGCUUGGCUGCAGGAGUUGCUGGAAGGAGACAUGCAAGGUGCCAUCCAACUGUCUUGGGGACUCUACUCCAAGUUUGUGUAGGGUUUACUCCUUAGCCUUUUCUUCUCCUGAAGAUAUCCUGUAAAGCAGUGUAGGUUUAGGAUCAGAGUUUUCCUUCUUCUAGAUGUGAUGAACCCCAUCUGCCCCUCACUUCCCUCUACAUCAGAUGCCCUUGGGAAGCUCACAAGCAGAGUUGAGAUGAAUUCCCCACUGUGCUAAAUUCAGCAAAAUUUCAGAAUUUGUAUUCAUCUUUUUUUAUUUUAAAUCAAGUUUUUUCAAGCUUUAUGUUUUAUCUAGACAGAUAUAUGUCUGAAAUCUCAUAGCUUUAUCAUUUUUAAAGCUUUUUAGCUCUUCAUCAGUACUGAUCCAAGUACUGAUAUCUAUAGAUAUUUUUUACAUCCUGGGUAAGUAAGAAAUCCUUUUAGGCUGAACUUUAUAAAGCUAUUGUUUUCCCUUUCAGAAGUCUUAAGUUGUCGGGAUAUUAACCUAUUAUUACUAUUUCAUCAUACCCAGAAAAAAUGGGAACACAGAUCACUGCUGUUAUUUGUCUCAAAAUGGUUCGAUUUGGAUUGUUUUGGACAGAAGCACUGAAUGAUGCUAAUAUUCUAUUCAACUAUAUCAUAUACAGUGCUCUGAUAGACUGCUAACCACUCCAUCUUAUUUAUAGAUAAAUACAUUUUGUUAUAUAACACUCACUCCUCUUUCCCAAACAUCUAGUUGACUUUGUUCUCAUCAAAUGCAAUCUUGGUGAAUUCUGCAAGGAGUUAUUUUAGUGGUCAGAUAUCACUUUGUUAUAACAAUAUUUAUUAGGGCAAUGACUGCUUUUCUGAUAUUUGUAUUUCCCCGAGUUCCUUUUACACUGUUUCAUACAAACUUCUGAUGCUUUCUUUCAAGCAAAAAGGUUCUUUUUUAAAAAAAAAACACCAGCAGGAUUUCCCUGGGAUACUUUUUUCAUUUUAAUGCUGGCAAGAUAUGUGAACCUCAAGGUGCAAAUUCCUCCUUUGUAAUGCAUGCUUUGGUACCUCUUUCAUGUUUUUCAAAUUCUCUCUCUUUCUCUCCCUCUCUAUUCUCGGCUUUUCAUAUGUAUGAAGAUGAGAUUUAUACCUAGGCACUGGGCUGAGGUGUUGGGGCGGGAGGGAGGGAGGGAGGGAGCAAGCCCGGGAGGCGUGGAAAAGCAGCUAGUUAGACCAAAGGCAGCUGCUGCUCUUCCAGGCCCAGUUGCUGCUGUGAAUAUCAGAGGCUGGGAAGAGGCUGUAAACAUGGGGAAGGAAGAACCCAUUGAACUGAAAGAACAAACUCUCCGGACCUGUCUGACACAGAGGUCAGGGGGUCACUGGAGCCCGGUGGAGGCAGUGUAGCAGAUUGGAAGCUCGUGAUGCCCCCUCCAACAUCAUUUAGACAAACAAGCAGAUGGCAGGUGUCAGUGGUGACAAAGAGCCAUCUGUACAGCGAGGACCGUCCCCUCCAUUCUCUCACAGGCUACUUCAUUAAACCCUCACUUCAGAGUGCCUAUGCCAUACCCUUUAGCCAAUGGGGCCUCUCUAAUAGGACACUUUUUUAAAAGAGAGAGAGAGAACUGCCUGCAUUCUGCUCCCAGCUACUCAGAGACAGCUUAUUUUCGUGCUUUAUUUCUUCCAAAAAGGAAAGAGAGAGGUUAUUAAAAAUAAAAACAAAACAAUAAACCCAAGCCAAGGAAAUGUUUGUUGCACAUGGUACAGGAUCAUCUGUGAGCCCCCAAACACAGGUUUCUUUCAAAAGAUACACUUGGGCACCCUUGGUUUAUGCAGUGAAAGAAUUAAAGCCGAAGCCAGUUGCCAAACAAUGAAGGAAUCUGCCUUUGUGGAGGAUGUUUUAGCUCUGGAAGAUGGAGGCUUUGCUUAAGACUUCCCCUGUCAGCUUGCUUAAGGGACAUUUUUUCCCCCUCUGCUUUUUUUUUUUUUUUAAUACCCAGCAUUUAUCUUUGUGUGCCUUUCCUUUAGAAAAAGGUGUUGUUAACACUUGGGUUUUUAAGGACUGGCCUUUUGUUAAUACGCAUGUGCAUACCUCUUUGGCUCUGUCAGAAAUGAAACAGGAUGGGAAAGAAAAAACGCUUAUGGCCACAGCAACUUUAACUUGGCAUUAACUCAGUCAGGAGCUGUUCUGAAAGAAUUCAACUUGACUCGCCUGAGUUGAAAUCCAUCUGCGCACUUUCUGCUGUUGUUUUGAGCCAGCACCUCUCCAGAACGGGGCAGUGGGGGGAGGUUAGGCCUUUUCUUUUUAAACAUAUGGUGCAGAGGGUGUGGAGACGAAAGCAAUGGGGCAGGAGGGGGUGGGAAUUGGGAGCUUCUGGAAAAUUUCCAAGCCACCCGCACCUCUCUGCCCAGCCAUGCUUCUUUAGCCUCCCCUGCAGAUCCCUGUGGAAAAUGCCACUGGAAUGUUUAGCUACAUAUCCACCCUUAUGGGUAAUUUCUGGGUUAUUUAGCACCCCCCCCCCGCUUUUGUUCAUCAAAAUUAGAAAGUACAGUGUAUACGAUGGACAGUGUGAGAAGGACCGUGCCACAUCGUUUUGUGUGGCUGUUCAGAAAAGCUAUAUAUGAAAACUCACCAUUUGUGACAAUGGAAGGCAAUUUAGAUCUGGCUAGAUUGAAUUCCUUCCCCCACCCCCUUCUACAUAUAGGGGCCUGACUCCCUGUAAAAUCUUCCCUUGCUGGGGUGCUUUUGGAGAAUACCGUACUGGCAGUUGCAUUAACAAUUGGAAAGCCACAUGAAUUUUUCAGAAGAAGAGUAUUUUAUUUUAUUUAUUAAAUUUGUACACAGCCCUACCCCGUGGAUCUUAGGGCAGUUCACAGCAUAAUGCACACAAGCAAAAUUCUAGAUCCCUGCUGGUUUCUUCUGUGCCUGUGUUACCCCUGAAAGGCUGAGAUGGAGUUUCAGGUUGACUUCCACAACUCCCACAACUGCUAUUUAAAGUUUAAAAAACAAAUGUGAACUGCCAAAUGCCGUCUUUAACGUGAUGUGUAGUUUGGCCCUCGUUUUAGCAAUCUUAGGGCACAGGAAGGUCUACAUUUCAGGGCAUGCCAUAACAGAUACUGAAGAGCUGAAGUAUUGAAUCUGGGACACUUGGAGAGAACAUUGAGAGAGAAAGAUUAUUCCAUUAUUUCACUGUAAUACCACUGAUUCUGUAUCUAUUAUAGGAUGCUUCCUCCUAUACACGCAUUGCCUUGCUGAAGGAAAUGCACAAAUAAUUUUGUUUCAGGGUAGGUUUUCAAAUCUUUCAAAUGUGGAUUCCAUGGGAGGCAGGCCAGAUUUAGCAGUUUAACAGAUUUCAUUCAAGGGAGCAUGGAAAACAAAUAAAUAUCAAUGUAAGCUUAUUGGUGUGAGGGGAUUACUUCUGCUAUGAACCUUAGUUUAUUCGUUUUAAAAAAUCUUUUUAUAUAGAAACUUCCAAAAUAGUAGAUCUUACCUCCUACGCCUAUCCCAUCCUAGAUGGUAUUAGACUCACUAACUGCUUCAGUGGACAAAUCUAUUAGUCAUAUCACACUUGGACUACUGUAAUUCGCUGUUUGUAGGGCUCCCUUUGAUGACUAUCCAGAAUCUUCAAUCAGUACAAAAUGUGGCAGGGAAGCUGCUAACUGGUGCAUGGUAUUGGGAUCAUAUUACUCUGGUGCUGAAAAAUCUGCUCUGUUUGCCAAUUGUUUUCUUGGCAGGAUUCAAAGUGCUGCUUUUAAGCUUUUAAGCCCCAAAUGGCUUAGGGCCUGGCUAUAUAAGGGCCUGCCUCUCUUUUUAUGAACUUACCUGGUUACUGAGAUCUGCAGGAGACAUGGGAGUAGCUGGGGGGGGGGCAGGAAAGGGCAGCUGCCCCCCUAAAUCAAUAAAAUUCAAUAAAAAUACAUAGCAAACUGAGGUUCUGCCUCCCCCCCCAAGAAAAGGUCUGUCCCCUCUAACAAAAAUCCUGGCUAUGACCAUGGCAGGAGACACUAUUGGGCGGAUAUGAUCACUUACAAAAGUCCAUUUGAUGAGCAUGUGUGAGGGGACUUCCUCCUUUGUUGAUUCCAGGUUGUAUCUCCCUUAAAGGUAAAGGUAAAGGGAUCCCUGACCAUUAGGUCCAGUCAUAGCCGACUCUGGGGUUGUGGCGCUCAUCUCACUUUACUGGCUGAGGGAGCCAGCAUACAGCUUCUGGGUGAUGUGGCCAGCAUGACUAAGCUGCUUCUGGAGAACCAGAGCAGCACACGAAAACACUGUUUACCUUCCCGCCGGAGCGGUACCUAUUUAUCUACUUGCACUUUGACGUGCUUUCGGACUGCUAGGUUGGCAGGAGCAGGGACCGAGCAACGGGAGCUCACCCUGUCGCAGGGAUUCGAACCGCCGACCUUCUGAUCGACAAGUCCUAGGCUCUGUGGUUUAACCCACAGCGCCACCCGCAUCCCUCUCUGUAUCUCCCUUCUGUUUCUUCAAAUCGUGGUUAAAGAAUGUGAAAAUGUAAUUGCCACAAUGACGAACAAUAUCAAAUCCCGCCUAAUAGAAUGCCCCAGAUUAAAGAACCUUGAUUGAGUAGGCUGUAUGUUCUGUGAGGGUUUUUUUUGGGGGUGGCUUUUCUGUGCUUCUUCAGUCAAGAACAUUUCCCCUGCUGCACUCGCUGCAGUUUCAACCUGGAAGAUCUGGUCCCCCUAGUCUCUUCGUCUCCCAUCUUCAUUCCUUCCACCCCCCUUUUUUUAUUUGUUUAAUUUAAAUAAAUUACAGGAUGCUCUUCCUUCUCAAUCAAUGGCUGUCUAGGGAAGAACGGGAACAGAAGGAAUAUUACUCAAAGUUUCCUGAGCUCUUGUGAGCCUGCAGUCUGGCUGUCAGCUUUCUGGCAGAUUUAUGAGGACGGCCGUGACCGGCUUGAAAGGGCAGUGAGGGGAAAAGAAGGGAUCCCAGCCCAUUAGUAAUUCCCUGCAGGAAAGUGACAGGUCUGAUGACAUGCAUGGAACACACAUUGCAGAAGAUGGGCAGUGGGAAACAUUCCCAUGCAAAAGAGCAUUCAGGACACUUCUGGCUGGAGGUUGUUUUCUCACUAAUGACCCAAUUUGAGGCCACCCAUCCUUUACAUUGGAAAACCCAACAGCACUGAGGUCAAUACCCCAAAAUGGGACAGAUACAAAACUCAUAAGCAUGAUAUAUGUAUGAAUAAUGGGCAGGCAGGAUAAAUAGUUACUGGCAAAUUGUGAAAGCAUUAGUAAACCAGCACAAUCAGACCUCCAAGUGAACUAUUAAUAUCUUGAUAUAUAAUCAAAGAGAAAAAUCUUUUCAGGGUCUCAGUCUAUUGAUGGUAAUGCUCCCAUUGUCUCCUGUGUUGCAGCACAUCAUCUUUAGACAUGCUGGAUUCCCUUCAGAAUAGCAACUAAAAUGAUGGUUUAAAAAUUAAAUCACAUUGGGGGGUUUUGGUACAGACAGUGACACCACAAUGAAACGAGAUCUACACAGGGCUUUGUGUGCCGUGCUUUAAGAAUCAGCCAAUCAAAAUUCUGUGCCAGGACUGUUCAAAUUCUAAUCCAUGAAAAGUUCAGUUCUGCAAAUUUCAUUUUAUUCCCUGCUCAUUUGCAUAAUUAUUUUGUUUCUGCAAGUUACAGGAAGGAGAAAAAGGAGGUAUGAUGGGCACGCAAGCUUUGCUUUCUAAUUAGUGGAAAUCUUAUUCAACCACUCCUCAAGUCUCUAGGAUGUCACAAAGCAUUACACACAUAUUUACAUUUUUUAUCUCUACCACCCUAAGGACUAGAAACUUAAAAAAAUAAAAUUUAAAAAUGAAAGCUGAGAUGUUCAGAGAGCUGGAUUCAUACAUUCAGCGCCUUUUCAUCCUUUGUGGAUAGGGUGAUUCCAUGUUCAGAGGCUGAGAAAAGGAAGACUUAGUCAACCUUUUAGGUUACUUGAAUUGAACUUAAGACCAAUGUACACAACCAAUGUAGCCUCCUUGCACCAGCUGGUUCCCGUCCCCCCUUCUGCUCAUGGUGGAUCCUUCUCACAGCAUACAGUACAUUUGGCUCAUUUCUGGUAAAGCAAGUGAAGUACUUUGGUACUUUAUCCCAGACUUCCUCAGUGUGCACCACAAUGGUAUGCAACAUAGUUCAGUUGGUAAAGCAUGAGGCUCUUAAUCUCAGGGUUGUGGGUUUGAGCCCCACGUUGGGCGAAAGAUUCCUGCAUUGCAGGGGGCUGGACUAGAUGACCCUCAUGGUCCCUUUCAACUCUACAAUUCUAUUAUUCUAUGAUCCUAACUACAAGCUCUGCUCACUACAGACAGGUCCAACACCUCAGUCUUCUCCAUGAUAUAGAAGCCACUUUCUCCUCUCUGUGAAGGCUGGUGCUCAUUUUACAGUAUAUACUUCAGUAUGGGUAUCAAAGAACAGUACAUGAGCUCUAAACACACACACACACACACACACAGAGAGAGAGAGAGAGAGAGAGAGAGAGAGAGAAUUUUACAUGUAUACACUCUUCACAAUAAAAAGAAGCAAAGCCUGCCUUUUUUUAAAAAAAAAAAGUAAAGUUUACAUUCCAAAUAUUUGUACUUUAAAGGCCAAGAGCAUUUCUGCGAAAAAUAUGACCUGUAUAAAAAUUGAAUUUGAAAAAUAUUCUUCACAUGGGAAUAAAGAAAAGUUCCACCUUGUGCAUUUUGUGGACAGGGAUCUGCUCCCAUUCCCAAAGACAAACUGUAAAGUGAGAGUCAUCCUUGAGUUUCUGCCAGGGGUGGAGAUAAGGGAGCUGAGAUAACGUCCCCAUUCUCUCUAAUGAAACCUACACCAGGCAUUAAUGUUGCUUUUAUUCAACGCACGUGUGUUUAAUUGUACAAGCCUCCAUCUGUUGCAUGAACAAAGACGCAAAGACAUAGGAGAACUCUAAUCAAUCAGUCUUUUAUCCCCCCCAGCCCCCCCCCCCAGAUUAAUAACUAGAAUCAAAUAAAAUGAACAAGGCACAUUCAAAACAGGUACUCUUCCAAACCAAGUUUCCAGGCAGUCACAAAUUCAGUAACAAUGGUAACUGGCUCUCUACCAUGGCAGAUGUUGGUGUAUCGAGGAUGCCAGUUGAAGCACAAAAUGGCUCCAACGCACAUCUCAAUCUGAAAACCACUAGCCUGCAUCAAACAUAGUUCCACAUGAAUGUGCUUGGAAUCAGAUGAAAAGGCCACAACCCAGUGUAUAGUAGUGGUGCUUGCAAGGGUGUGCAUGUGGCCAUGUGUACAUGCACAACAAAGCUUUGUUCCCAACAGCAGCAGGUUGUGUUUCUAACUUGCUAAGCACCCGAGGAGCUGCUCUUGGGAGCAAAGAAUUAAAGAAGCCCUGCUGAGUCUGCAGCGCUUACUGUGCAACCGAGUUCACUGUUGGAUCAUGGCCUUCACUUGCUCAUCCUAAAUCAGGUACAUUCCUCAGUCUUGGCCUCAAAGAGUUGGCCUUCUGUCAUGUGGGCGAAAUACUCAGUCCGUUUGAUUUGUGGUAUGGCUUUUACCGCCUAGGAUGCAUGGGCCUGUAACCACUUAACCUGCAUUAUGUUGCCUAAAACCGAAAGCUGGAAACAAGCCGGAAGGGAAUGUUAGAGGAGAAAUGACAAUAUUUUCCUCCCUCUUGAAAGCAGCCCAAUCCGCUCGCAAAUAUCACCGCUUACUUUUUUCAAAGUACUAUCAGAUUAUUCUCAACUCCAUGCCACAUCUCUGUUCUUUCCAACGUGGCUGCUGUAUUGUCUAGAAGCGGGAUCUGUGAGCUCAGAUCUCUCACAGGUUGCCUUUUAAGCAAACCAGUGUUUGCUCAGCAUCAAAACUACAACUCAGUGCAGCUGUCAUGUUGCCAGAUUAACAGUAGUGACAGGUGGGGCUGUACAGGUGAGACUACGCUGCUCUCAUGGCUUCCUAGCGCUGUGCGUUGUUGCCAGUUGCAGGGGUGGUGGCAAGGCAAUGGGGAGUUUAGCGCCAAGCUACCUGGACCUAAUGGUCAGGGGUCCCUUUACCUUUACCCACUGCUUUGCCCCUCCCACUCUUGGUAACCACCAGCCAUGCAGGGUGUUGGAAGUCAGAAGAGCAAUGCAGCCUCACCCAUGCAGCUUUGCUGACUGCUACUGCAUACUACAAUUAACAGCAGAUUGACAUCCUCUUUUGCCUCUGGCCACCCUAGUUAUAGGUAGGAUGCCAUCUUUGGUGCUAGAUUUCCCCAGAUGUAUUAACCUUCCUUCUUGUCCACAACAAUGUCCAUGGUCAUGAAUAGAUUCCACCUACCUCCCCAUUGGUGGUAGAAAAACCACCAAAAAUGGGAAAGUGGAGAUAUAGCUAAGAAUGGAAGAAAAACAUUGGAGAUAAACUUGAUUAUUUUUGAAGUCAUAUUGUUAGUUAAGGAGUUAACUAGGCUUUGAUGCUGGUUAUCUAUCUCUCUGUCUGUCUGUCUGUCUGUCUAUGUAUCAGAAAAGCAGACGUGGGGAAGAGAGUUUGGAGUUAGAAACAGCAGUGGAAUGGUGUAUAACACUUUUCCUGAUGCAAGAUGCCUACUCCAAAACUGUAAGCAGGUUUUACUCCCAUCUGGAUUAAAAAUAUAUGUUUGCUAGCCCCCAAAGUAUAUGUGUCUGGGGUGGGGGGAACCUUGCAGACCAUUUGAAAUAUGAGACUUGUGGAUAAGGUUCAGACUCCUAAUUUGUGCUUCCGAAACUGGGACCAAUUCAGUUCAGACUGUUUCAGUCUGUUACACACUUUACCUUGGGUCCAAAUCAGAACCACAAUGGGAAAACUGAAGCUUUACACCUUCCCAUUAACUAUCUUGGGGCUAUAUACUAUAAAAUUGAUCACUAUGUUGACUAUCUUGGGGAAAGUAAUAAAUGGCUAUAACUUUUUUCUUUUUGGUAGAAUUGAAUGAAAUUUGCAGACAUGCCAAGUCUGCACAAUGAAUCUUCCAGAAACAAGGAUACCUGCCAGUCAUAAAAAUCACACCAUUUACUCAGUUUCAAUUAUAAAGUAAAUUGCAUGUCACAAGAUGUUUCAGCAAUAUGAUUGGCCAAUGUAAUGUAUAACAUUAAGUCAGUACUCAUGCUCUGCACACACAGUUUGGAAAGGCAUCAUCCCCCUUUUAAUAAACCUGUACAUGUAUGUACUUUUUCACUGGCAGCUUACAAUACCAGUAAUGAUUUUGGUCCAGGAUAAUUUAUUAGGAUUAAUGACAAACCCAUUUUAAUGAUCCUUGAUGGCACUUUGGUCCAUCAACUCGUCUCAACCGGUUAUUCAUGACCUUUGAUGAGUCUUGAACUAUGCAGUUAUUAAUCUCAGGCAAAUGAUCUGAAUCAAUGAAGUUUAAUUCAGCCUCUUAGGUAACAGAAUUGUCUGAUUGCCAUUCAUAGAAAGGGCUGUAAACAAAGAGAUGGGUUCUAAAUCACACACAAGUAAGCCAACCUUUCCAAUAUUAAUCCAUGUGAAGAGUAGAGCUUUAAAAUCUUUCUAAAUACUAAUGUGGAUUAAAACAACAACAACACCAAUACGUUGCUUGUCUUUGUCCCCUCUAGCCAGCAUCUUCCUCCAAUGCUGUUUCCUUCAUGCUCUCUUCCUGACAAUGUCUCUGCCUGAUACUGAGACAUGAGAGAGAUGAGAGACUGAAAUGCUGGUUCCAGAUUGUGCCCUAGGGAUCAUUAGAAUGAUCAUAGGUUGCCAACUCUUUUGGACCUGUAGGGACAUUGGCAAACCAGAAAUGUUAUUGUGGACACUGCAUACACCACAACCAAGCACUCACCCUACCCUAUUCUAUGAGCUAAAAUUAGAAUUUAAUUUAAACUGGGGGAGGGGGCCCUAUGUUCACCAGGGAAGGCCUCUGUGAGCACUGGAUUGGACUACAACAUGGCAACAUGGGUAGGCACAGCCAUAUGGUUACAGUUUUUUUCUGUUCUGUCUUGUUAAUCUUGAACAUGUGGUGUGGGUUUGACAUAUACAUACAUUAGAAAACAACUGCCCAAAACUUGGUUGAAUAUUUUUUGAGAGUAUAUGUGAAAUGUGCUCCUUUCAUUGUCUCCAUCAGCAUCUCCUCCUGUCCUGUAUUGUCUAUGAGAUGUUAGCACAUCUCCUUCCUGCCUCCAUGGCUCCCUGGUUUCCUCACCUUCUGGGCCUUUGGCUACCUUGCCUUUCAAACUUCCUCCUGCCUUUUGAAUUCCAGGCUCCUAUAAUGUCUACUCAGAAAUAUACACCAGGAAAAGCCUUGUGGCACUUUUACAAAUGUUCUUGUGGCAUAAACGUUUGUGGAUUUGAGCCCACUUUAUCAGAUGCAUGAUGGGUUAUCCUCAAUUCCCAGGCAUAUGCAUAUGGUGGUAAAGGCGGAAAGGCUGGUGUUAAAUAACAAUGGAACCCAAAGGAGAACCUGUGACAAUUCAGUAAGAGUUUAAAUGUGUGCAAAAUGACCCUCCACCGCAGCAGUAAUUGGUGAGAAUAAAAUCAUCUUAGCACUGCUGAGUAAAGUGACAAUGUUAAUAGAGUUUAAAUGAGUUCAGUAUAACUAACCCCCUGGUAAGUGUAUGGGAUUGUAGCCUGAGGCACACUCUCCUCCUGUCCCUAGAACCUCUACGAAGACCUGAAUAUUGGGUAAAUAUGAUGCACUCAUUUUGAAGAUGGGGCAAGGUUAACACAAGUCCUUAUACAACAGCAAAUUUUUUGCCAUCCCCUCCCCCUUUCAGAUACUCAAUUUUCAUUAUUCCCAUUCCUGAGGCAGUAACAUCAUUUAAGUAGUUAAUUUGUUCUGCUCUGUGAGAGCAGCAGCCUUGACACACAAAGCAAUCAGAGGUCAAGGACAACCCGAAAUUAAAUACAGGAGCCCUUGUGAUGAACCUCAGAUGAAUCUGGUGUUUUACGGAGUGGGCUGCCCCCUGGCAGGCUGCUGCCGUGUCCUCAUAAUUCCCAGUGAUAACUGAGCUUGUCAGUAAGAGCUCAGCAUCUCAUGGCAUCUGGCAAGGUGCACAGUGUGUUUUGAAGCUAUGCUGACAUGGAUGGUCCUGCCUAGAAAGAAAUAUUGUGGUUACUGAAGGUUACUGUGCUUCCGAAGUGCAAUGUCUCCAUUGUGUCAAACCGUAGUUAUGGAUGUUAAAGAGUCCUAAGACGGGAGUGUUAAGCAGACUGGAAAUGAAAGAAGUAGCUAGAUGAAUCCAUGGCUUGACUUAGGAUAUGGCAACUUCACUUAUGCACGGAUGAUGCAUAGAAUCAUGGAAUAGUAGAUUUGGAAGGGACCCUGAGGGUUAUCUAGUCCAACUGCCUGCAAUACAGGAAUCUCAACUAAAGCAUCCAAGACAGAUGGUCAUCCAACCUCUGCCUAAAAGCCUCCAAAGAAGGAGAGUCCACUACCUUCCAAGGAAGGCUGUUCCCCCGUUGAACAGCUCUUACUGUCAGGAAGGUCUUCCUGAUGUUUAGUCAGAAUCUCUUUUCUUGUAACUUGAAACCACUGGUUCAGGUCCUAGCCUUGGAAGCAAGGAAAAAAACAAGCUUGCUCCAUCCUCCAUGUGACAGUCCUUUAGAUAUUCAAAGAAGACUAUCAUAUCUCCACUCAGUCUCCUCCUUACAAUACUAAUCAUACACAACCAUUCAACAUAAGGCUUUCCAUACCCUAUUCAUCCUGGUCGCUUUCCUCUGCACAAAUUCCACCUUGUCUAUAGUACUCCAGGACACAGUAUUCCAGGUGUGGUCUGACCAAGGUAGAAAAGUAUGGGACUAUUACAGCUGGUUCUUCCUGCCUAAUUGUAGAACCUUACAUUUGUCCCUAUUGAAAUUCAUUUUGUUUGUUUGGGCCCAGUUCUCUAAUCUGUUAACGUCAUUUUGAAUCCUAAUUCUGUCUUCUUCAGCAUUAGCUACCUUUCCCAGUUUGGUGUCAUCUGCAAAUUGAAUGAGCAUCCCCUCAAUUACUUCAUCCAAGUCAUUUGUAAAGAUGUUGAAUAAUAAAGGGCCCAGGGACCACUUUUAAAAUUUGUGCCAUCUAAACUCAAAACCAUCUAAAAUUUCACUAAACCACUAUAUAAUACAAUGUCUUUCAUUUAUUUUUACUGCCGUAAUCUUAUAACUUGAAUCCUUAUAUUUUAAUAAAUCUGAAAUUGUAUAAAUAACUAAAAAUAACAUCAAAUGUCCAGUAACUAAUUUAUUAGAGAAUUUAACAAAAACGUCCCUAUAUUGAAUACCUAUAUAUAUUUCCCAAACAAUUGGGAAAAUACUAAGAUUUUGAUAAGGUUUCUUUUAGUCUAUUUAUUUUAUAAAUUUCUGCAAAGUUUCCAGUUUGUUUUCUGGAUAUAUUUCCAAAAAAUGAAUUUUUGGAAAGGUUUCAACUCUAAUGCAUUUUGAAUCUGAUUUUCCUUGUUCUUUUACCUCAGUGCUGUCUGCAAAUUCAUGUUCAAUCGAUAUUGUAGCUAAGCCAACAUGCCUUUCCUGAGACAUCGAAGAACAUAUGUACAAUUUAAUUAACUUUGGUUUGGGGAAAUGUUCUACACCACUGGCAACAGAAACAGGGUCAAGAGAAAGCAACGAACGAUAAACGCAUUGGGUAUACUGUCAGCCAAGUUAUUUUUGCAUAUAAAUGUCAGUACCUCUUGUGGUAGUGCAUUGUUCAAAAGUUGUCUGCCAAAAACUUUUAAUUCAUUACAUAAUUCAGAAGCGUCAAUGUCUUUGGCAUCCCUGUGUAGUAAAACUUGCUCUAGAUUUACACAGUGUUCCAUAAUUUGGGUUGAUGUACUUUUCUGUAAACUAUGAAAAUUAUAGAAGAAGCCAAACACGGAACUGAUUUUAUGCAUCUGUGUGAACCUUUCAUCAAGGGGUUGUACUGCGGUGUCAAGGAUUGCAAAAUAAAAUAUUAUUUUGAUUUUUUCCCCUUUAUGGAUUCUGGAUACCAUAUGGUAUUUUUGGGUGUUUGUGGGCUCAGGGCUGAGGGGAAUAAAUAUGUGGUAAAAAAGCAAGCAAGCAGGACAACCACUCCUCCCGUACCCUAUUCCUGACUAAAAAUAUUCAUGCACCCUGUCAGAUGCACAGUGUCUUCACCCCUGGUUCUGCUAAGUUCUUAAAGUGAUGAUUCACUGUUAGUUCUCUCUCAGCUUAGAAAAAUAUCACAGGACAGGCACCAACUCUUUUUCAGGACCCCUCAGGUUCCUCAUCUUCCCUUCCUGAAUCCUCCUCUUAAUUUCUAGCAGCUGCAGGCACACUACAAGCUCAGAGACUCCCAGACCAAUAGCUUUGAGGCCCAAAAGACUGAACUCGGCAAAAUGAAGGAUGCUGAGAUAUAAGUUUGUAUUCUGAACCUGUUCCAGUGCUACCAGGCCUACUAAACUUUCAUUAGAUCUACUGAAAUAUGUGGUGAUCUUCUGAUUGCUGGAAAAAUACCUUCAAGUAAGACAAAUCUACUGAUAUUUGGCUUUACAUGAAUUUUAUUUAAAGAGUAUUCCACAACAAAGCAGCAAUAAACUCUACACAAGUUGCUCCUCCAGCCAGUCAACUAAAGCUAAACCAGAGUCAAAUUGGUAUUUGUGUUGAGUGUACUGCUAAAUAAGCAAGAUGGCGCACUCAGCUCCCUCUACCACGAUAUUUUGUGUUCUCUGCAGAAUCCAAGUUUUCAACCAAUAAAGCUUUUUUCAGAGGAUUCAUAGGUGGUCUGCUUUAGACUCAGCCCAGGCCUAUGACUGGCCCAGCCAUUCUGAAGGGCCUGACUACUGAAGAAAGCCCAGAGGUAUUAGUGAAUCAAUAAUAGUUCUCUGGACUGGAACACAGAUGUGAGGGAGAUCUGGCUGUGGCAUCAGUCACCCCAUUGGUCUCCAUGGUUGAGUCAACUGAAUCUGGCUGUGCGGACUGGCUCACUAAUGGGCUUCCCUCAGCCCCUCAUACCCAGCUGAAGCUCUCUGGUUUUUGUCUUUUCCCUUCUGUUUUUCCCAUCUCUGAAAUGGCAACCACUGUAGGCAGCCACUUAGUUCCACUAGUGUUUAAACCGGCCCUAAAUGGAGCUUGGAGACUUCUGAUUGACUUUCCCCAUAUUUUUUGUGCUGCCACCCAGCUUCCAGUCUAUUUUAGUCUAUUUGAAACCACUGUGUGAAUGUAAUGUAAUAGCCAUGGCAAUAUCACCACUAGGCACAUUCACAACAGGAGUGCACUUUAACAACCCAAAACGUUUGUUUGUCCCAGCAAGCUGCCCAUCAAACUCUGGGUGAUAAGAGUGAGGCUCUCAGUGUAACCCAGGCACAAGGAAUGGCUGCCUUAUUUGAGGGGAUGCUCACAUCAAAGGGAGGCCUUUACAAUGCGAGUACAGUAACAUUUGCAUGGCUGCACUUAAUCUGGCAGUUAUUUAUUGCUCUGGGUUAGAGAAAACCUUCGCACAGAAAGAAAUCAAGGCCUGAAGCUCAGUCUGUGCCAAAAUUCACAGAUGGCCCAUUUCUCAUACGAGGCAGCAGAUUUCCGAAGAACAAGAAACACCAUCUCCCUCACCCCCCACCCCGCCGCUGCCACCCUGUAAGGGACUGUGGUGGAAUUCAAGUGUUGUGCCCGCAAAGAUGGAGCACCUGCAAGAGUGAUGAGCAGGGUUUUCUCUAGUGGAAGCAAAGAGAAGAUUCUACUCAUGUGUAUUGACUGCAUUGAUCUUUCAUUUUACUGCCGUUACUGGGUUUUCAAAGGUGGCGUUUUGUCCUGGAUCUUAGGCAAGCCAAUAGUCAACCGAAAAUUUGCAGCUUUUUGUGGCAUUUUUGUUUUUUUAAAAAAGGUCAACAACUUUCGGGGCGUCUUGGUUUUUACUUUUUGAAAUAUGGCAACCCUAGUUUUGUAUUGUAAGCUGCCUUGUGAGAACUUUUUGUAAAAGGCACAGUUUAAAUCCAUAUAGAAAUAGGUUAGCCAAAUGCAUGCAGUUCAUGGAGUGUGUGUGUGUGUAUAUAUAUAUAUAUAUAUAUAUCUCCUCCCCUUUCCAUGGCCUUACACACUCACUCACGCAUGCACACACACUCACGAUCAAAGAUAGUCCCACUGCUGGCCACCAUCUGGAAAAAGAUCUAAACAGCUCUAUUCAUGAGUCUCUCAAAAUAAUGAGAUGUAGAAGACUAACAAGAGACACUGGUGGGCUAUCAGCUCCAGCUGCAAGAACUAAACAUCUCCCUGUGCUAUUUAACAUACUGGGUGGGGGUGGGAAAUUCAGUUUCUGCCGCUGCCCAAUCCCAAACUCUUUACAGUUAGACAAAUCUAAUAUUUUUCGUGUGUGUGUGUGUGUGUGUGUGUGAGUGAGUGAGAGAGAGAUGCAGCCUUUGGCAACCUGGUGCCAUCCAGAUGUUUUGCACUACAAACGGGAAAACAAAUUGGCGGAGGCUGCAUUAGUGGAACAGGGGAACAUAGAAAGAUGCUUUAUUUAUACCAAGUCAGACCACUGGUCCAUCGAGCUCAGUAUUAUCUGUGCUGACUGUCAGACCUCACUGGAGGUACCAGUGGUUGAACUCAGGUUCUUCUGCCUGCAAAGAAUGCAUUCUAUCACUGAGUUCUCAUCCUCCCCUGACUGAAAACUAGCAGGUGGAAUUAGCCACGAGCAUUUGGCAUUCUUUUCUUCCACAGGCAACUGCACACACCAGCCAACAUUUGGAAAUUCCAGAUGCUAUUAAAUCAAACACCAGAUGUCCUUGGAAGCUGUUCAGUAACUUCAUAGUUUGCUUCUUUUGCUGCCAGGGCAACUAUUUGGAGCCCCUCGAGUCACCUACGGCACCUGGUAGAGUACCUCAUCGUAAUAAAAUAUUACAGAUCUUCAACCAGCACAAUGGCCCUCUAGUAUUGGUACAGUUAAACUGCAUCAUAAUCACAGGGUUGUUUUCUUCUUCUUCUGGUUUUCCCAACAAGUGAUUAUGAUGAACUAGUUCUUGUCAUUCCACCCAACUCUAGUCUUUACAACAAGGGGAAAUUGGCCUUUCCCAGCGCUUGGACAUCUAAUUGUACACACAGGCAGCUGGUUGAGGUCAGGCCUGAUGGUGGCAACCAAAGCCAUCAGGAGCUCAGUGGUUGCUCCAUAAGGCUAGUUGGAGAUGAAUUGACACCUGUCCAGCACUCCUACCUUUCCCCUUCUCGCUCCCUGCAAGCCUCAUUAUAAGGCAAAACAAUUAGGACAACAUUGCACAAUUUGAGAUUUUAGAGUGUCCAACAUUUCAGAUCUUCUUGAUCAACACACGAGGACUUACUUGCAAUUAAACAGGCAUAGGAUAGUCCACUGCAAGUCUGCCUGUGUCAGAAAGACUAUACAGUGAUACCUCGGGUUAAGUACUUAAUUCGUUCCAGAGGUCCGUUCUUAACCUGAAACUGUUCUUAACCUGAAGCACCACUUUAGCUAAUGGGGCCUCCUACUGCCACCAUGCAGCCGGAGCACGAUUUCUGUUCUCAUCCUGAAGCAAAGUUCUUAACCCAAGGUAAUAUUUCUGGGUUAGCGGAGUCUGUAACCUGAAGCGUAUGUAACCUGAGGUACCACUGUACAUUUUGCUUGUUUGGGCAAUGAUAACACAACUAAGGGAUAGAAGGUGCUUUGUGAAGUCAUGGUAUACCAGUUGCAUGUCAACAGGCAGCUCACCCCCACAACGGCUUGCGAGGUUGUUCUUUUUCAUAUUCCUUGUACAAUAUGAGCUUUUUUCCUGGGGGUACUCAAGAGUAUGCAGUACUGGCACCUGUUUUCUAGAAGAAAGCACUGGUUAAAGGUGUGCCACCUACUGUAACAACCUUGUGUGAGCACCGGCACUUAUUUCUAAAAGAAAAGCACUGAGUAUAACAUGUUUUGAACCAAAGUUUGAUUUGCACUUCUGUACACACACAGGCCUACUGCAGUUCGUAUGUACUACAACCCACUGAAUUAGGAAUGAGAACCAUUGAAAUAAGUGGGAGUAGUUGGUAGUAGUUGGUAUUUGCGUGUUGUUGUAUGCAGUGGUGCAGCAAGGCAAGGCCACGGUGGGAUGUAAGGCAAGGUGGAACAAGGCAGAACAGGGUUCAGGCUGCAUUUGGGCAAAGUCAGGGUUUAGAGUAGAGGCAGGGUGAAGCUCAGGAUGUGCUGCAAAGAACACAGAGCUCUAGAGUUGCCCCAGCAAGGAUCAAGCUAGAAUUGAGCCCUUAUCUAGCAGUCAGGUGCAAUCUAAUUGCUAGCAGCUUGACUUCAAGAGCCCUAGCCUUCUCCAGUAACCUCCUACUGGGUCUUCUGUCGUGGAGUUUUUUGAGUCAGAAGAUGGCAGUACCACAUCCUCAAGCUGUGGGAAAGGGUGCACUAGUCUCACAGGUUCAUCAGACAGUGCUUCUGGGGUUGGUCCUGCAUGCCCUUUCCUCUUCUGGUUCAGAGUUCUUGCCCUCAUCUCCUGAAGAUAAGGAAUCUGACUCCAGGGUCACAACACAUAUAGAGUAGGAUUGAACGGCAUACCUUCACAACAUGUUUUUGUCGUUAUGGAGAGAGCAUAUUUUCCAGCAAAAAAAUUCAAUUCCACAUCCCCAUGUAGUAAUAAAAAUGUUCAGCAUAUUUUUUAAUAAAUAUACACCCUUUCUAACAUGAAAGUCAUAUGUGUAGAUUCUAUUCAGCGAUGAAUAAUGAGUUGGGUGGCAUCCUUCCAAAAAUACACAAGGACUUCUAGAACAGCUGUGAUCAAGAUGUUCAGAAAGCUUUUGUGUUUUUAUUUGCAUUGCCCUUAAAAAUGUGUUUACCAAAAUAUUUAGCAAGACUGACCUGCCAUUUAUCUUGCCUUUGUAAUAUUUUGUAUACAGUGUAUUCAAUUUCCUUCAAAUGAAAUGAGCCAUUUGACUAAGAUGACCUGAAAGAGAUCUGUCUAAUGUUUCACUUCAGCUGCAAUCUGGAUCCCAGCUAAACCCUCUUGAAGUCAACUGUCCUCAUCCACAAGGCUGUUCCAUUCUGCUUUCAAACAGAGGAAGAGCGCUGCUAUCUGCUGAAGGUUGCACUAUAUUGUCAUGAUACACUAGCAUAUAAUAAUCUUCCAGCUAACCAAGAAACAAUGCAAUGCCAUUGGCCCACUAAUAAAUCUAACAUACCGUUACCAACAGAUUGCUAUCAGCUUGAGAUAAAUGACAAUUAAUUGCCCUUGAUGUGAAAUCAAAUACUUAAAAACUUUGCUAAGGCUUCUUGAUCUGACCGUAGUACCGCAUCUCUGAUGAAACAUCCACAUCCAUUUGUAAUUUAUCUUGAAUAUGAACAGUGGCAGAGGCUGUGUGGCCCGACAAGAUCUAAGCAAGUGAGAACUUUACCACGUCUGUCAUGAAUUAAGCCUUUUAGAUGCACAGACUGAUGUUACAUUUGGAUUGCAGUGUCAGCCUCUUUGAAACCUGAUGUUUUGAUGCAGUAGGAGUAGGCUGGGUGGUCACUGGAUCUGACUGAUGAAUCUUCCCCCUCACUUAGUACUUAGUAGAAAGCCACAGAGAGAAAGGGGACAGUCUACUGGGGUGUGGGUGUGUAAAGCAAUAGCAUCUAUGUGGGCAUUUAACAUAAGAGUACUAUUUAAAAAAAAACAAAAAACAGCUUCAGCAGAGUCUGGUGGUAGAAGGAACUGUGGUGUUUUUCUAAACAUUGCUAUAUAUUCCUAUUAUCAUGAUACACUGAAAGCUUUUUGAAUUCCCCAGGGAUGGGGAACCUCCAGUUACUGAAGCAGCAAUGCUGAAGAAGUGUAUUCCAGUUGCUUUCGCUAUGAAGCAAUGUAUCAGAAGUUAAGUCUAAAAUCUGCCAAAAUCAAGUGAAACUGCCCACACCUGUUCACAUGCAAAGAAGAAUUUGCCUCAAGUGGUGGACUUUGGGCUUUAAAAUUUCAGCAGCAAAUGUAGCAAACUGGUAUGCUCUCCUGCCAAGACAAAGGUAGACAGUUUUCUUAAAGUGACAUUCUCUAUUUCACAACAGCAAAGAAUAAGUUGGCUAGGCCAAAUUGCAGCAGUGAAGAUGUGUAUUCUUCCUCAAUUUCUGUUUUUUCUUUCAGAUCCUGUAUCGACCAAUAACUAAGGGAGGUCUUGGUGCCCCAAAUCUUAAGUUGUAUUAAAACUAUUUCCAAUUAAAACAGUUGACACAUGUGAUUAAUAACUCAGCUUCAACUCUAUGGGUCAAAAUGGAACUGGAACCCUCACAACCCUCUCUUAAUGCCUUACCAUUCCUGAAAACUUCAUGGGCUCACGUUAGCAAAAGAAGUGCGUCCGUUCUUCAUGUGAUUGGCAUAAAUACAUAUUUUUGUUAUGUCCUGGUUUAACCCCCCCCCCUUUUCCUGACUUAUUAUGAUUUUUUGUUGUUCCCUUUAUUGUGAAAACUCUCUAUGUAACUUAUGCUUCUUCUCUCAUAACAAAACGGCAAUGGAGAUUUCUUUAAAAAGAAAAAAAGAAGAGAAUCCCACACUUGGAUAAGAGGUGACAGGUGGCCAAAAAUUGUCAAUAUCAACAAAGGGAUGGGAAGGGAGAAAUGCAAGGGGAAUGAACUGGACAGAAAAGAGUUCUCUCCUUGAGCAGCCCAAAGCCAUAUGGUAAUGAAAGAUGUGCCUGCCUCUGUCAACUGCAUUGACUACCGUGCUUUGCAUACAUACAAACCAGUUCUCAGGGCGGGCUGUUUGCAAAAGAAGAAGAAGAGGAACAGAUGCUGCAGCUUCUCCAAAGGCGGUAGAGUGCACUGCUCCAGUGAAUUGCCUGGAGCACGUUUCCCAAAGCCCUUGCUGGCAAUGCUGUGGCCCUGCAACACCUCUAAGAGAGAGGCUGUGAGGCUCUGUGCUGCCACUGAGCUCUUCACUUAAGUCCCAUCUGUUGACCAGCUGUGAAAAAUGUCGGCUUGCAGUUAGAAUCUAUAUAUCUGUAUCUUCUAUCAGGUGGUCAUUAUGAGUGUCGUGAUGAGCUAGCAGAAUUCCUGCCAUUGGAUUAAGAGAAAACGAGGACAAUCUUUUGCGGGGUUAUUGCAAAUAUAAGAAGAUGUCAAUGUUAAUAAUAAUAUGGGCUUGGGGGGGGGGAAGGGUGCUGUCCUCUUGCAUGGUUCUCAAAGCAUGUGGGGAAGUAUAAAGGAGAAUAAACAUUACAUUUACCUUUCAGGCUGUGAUUAUGGACUGAUAUAUGGCUGUAGCAAGUAUGAAACCUUGAUUAAGUCCAUCUUCUCUGCUUCCCUCUUUCCCCUGUUCCAUUUUUUUAAAUAAUAAUAAAUAAUAAUAAUAAUAAAUUUUAUUUGUACCCCACCCUCCCAAUCCAGAGCUGGGCUCAGAGCAGCUAACAUCAUUUCCCACAUCUAUUCCUGAAUCUGGCCAAAUCAGCCUUAUUUAUUUAUGUUGCCAAUGCAAUUCUGGGCUGCAUCAAUAGGAGUAUAGCAUCUAGAUCAAGGGAAGUAAUAGUGCCACUGUAUUCUGCUCUGGUCAGACCUCACCUGGAGUACUGUGUCCAGUUCUGGGCACCACAGUUCAAGAAGGACACUGACAAACUGGAGCGUGUCCAGAGGAGGGCAGCCAAAAUGGUCAAAGGCCUGGAAACAAUGCCUUAUGAGGAACGGCUAAGGGAGCUGGGCAUGUUUAGCCUGGAGAAGAGGAGGUUAAGGGGUGAUAUGAUAGCCAUGUUCAAAUAUAUAAAAGGAUGUCACAUAGAGGAGGGAGAAAGGUUGUUUUCUGCUGCUCCAGAGAAGCGGACACGGAGCAAUGGAUCCAAACUACAAGAAAGAAGAUUCCAACUAAACAUUAAGAAGAACUUCCUGACAGUAAGAGCUGUUCGACAGUGGAAUUUGCUGCCAAAGUGUGGUGGAGUCUCCUUCUUUGGAGGUCUUUAAGCAGAGGCUUGACAACCAUAUGUCAGGAGUGCUCUGAUGGUGUUUCCUGCUUGGCAGGGGGUUGGACUCGAUGGCCCUUGUGGUCUCUUCCAACUCUAUGAUUCUAUGAUUCUAUGACAUAGUCCUCCAGGUGAUGUGUAAAAGACGUAGAGACAUCAGAACCUGGUCCUUCACAAUCUUCACCACUCCUAUACCAGUGCAAUUUCUGUGUGGUGGUGGAAUAUGUCAUUGUUUCUAUUUAUAACUUCUGUCUUUACUGCCAGGACUAUGGGUGGGUUGGUGGGUGGGGCAUUUGAUUCAGUUCAUAUGCAAAGGUGAGCUUACCUAAGUUGCACUUGCAAAACGCAAACCUUUUAAAUUUGCACUUCUAUGAAUUUUGCGAGGCAGUUCUCCAGCCAAGUAAUGUCUACAAAAAUGCAGGGCUAGAAAAAGGUGGAUCAUCUGGUUCAAUUUUAAAGCCUCAGUACACUGCAGGAAGACCUAAUAUAUACUAUGCCACAUUUCCCACUGCUUACUUUAAUUCCUUGCAAAAUUUCACCACAGCAUUUUUAUGGGCACUUCCCAGCAACCUGUUUAUUGAGCAUUCAUCCCAAUCUGUUUGCAGGGUGAUUAGAUGACAUUUACUGUUGACAUUUACCAGGACGUGGGUGGUGCUGUAGGUUGAACUACAGAGCCUAGGGCUUGCCAGUCAGAAGGUCAGCGGUUCGAAUCCCUGUGACCGGGUGAGCUCCCGUUGCUCAGUCCCUGCACCUGCCCACCUAGAAGUUCGAAAGCACAUCAAAGUGCAAGUAGAUAAAUAUGUACCACUCUCUCGGGAAGGUAAAUGAUGUUUCCGUGCACUGCUCUGGUUAGCCAGAAGCAGCUUAGUCAUUCUGGCCACAUGACCCGGAAGCUGUACGCCGGCUCCCUCGGCCAAUAAAGCGAGAUGUGCGCCACAACCCCAGAGUCGUCCGUGACUGGACCUAAUGGUCAGGGGUCCCUUUACCCUUUACCUUACUGUUGAGCAAGCAUUCAUUCCGAUGCAUUUAUGGGGAUGUUAGACAACGUUGCAUCAAAGGAAAUGUUAUCCUACAGUUUCCAGGGCAUCUUCUUAUCACUUUCCUUACCACAAAAACUUUUAAUCUUUGGGAAAACUGGGUUCGUUGCGUAAGAUCUCCAAUCGACUCUAAUUGGCAACCUGAAUUUGCUAGUAUGUGAUUGAAUCCCACAGAAAACAGUGACUGUCUGGAAAUUACCCUACUGUGCUAUGCAGGGUGCUGGAAUGGGAGCAGCAACCCUAGUGGCAAUGAUGGACACCAACCCGGAUGGCUUUAAAAGAGGAUCAGACAGAUUCAUGGAGGACAAAGCAACUAACCCCAAUGGCUAUGUUCUACCUCCACUGCUGGAGGCAGUAUCCUUCUGAAUACUAGUUGCUGGAAACCUCAGGAGCAGAGAGUACAGUUGAGCUCAGAUCCUACCUGCCAUGGACAUUUGGUUGCCCCCUUUGAGAGCAGGAUGCUGGACUAGUUGGGCCUUUGAUCUGAUCUGGCAAGUUUCUUCUUAUGUUCUUAGUGUAUAUGUGUGGGGUGGGUGGGUUGGACAGAAUUUCCAGCGCUCUUAUUUUAUUUAUCUUUUUUUUCAUCUUCUUUAAAAUCCUUUGGUUACUGUUGUUCUUACAUUUUGUUUGUGUUUGAUCCUAGAUUUAUUUGCAUUAUGGGCUGGAUUGUAAAUCAGCAGUGUCACCAACUGUGACAGCUGGCAAGUAAACAACAAUUUCAAGUGCUCUCAUAAUUGCUGCCUCCCCCCCCCCUUCUUCUUUCAAAUUAGUAAUUCCAUUUUGCAAUCAACCUGUCAUUUAGCUGUUAGUGCUAAAUUCAAUUGCCAAAAAAUUAUCUGCUGGGAAUCCAAAUCUCUGUAUUACUGCAGUUUAUGGUUGUUAACGGUGUGAGAUAUUGCUAAUGGUGUUUAAUUAUCAGUAUUUCCAAAUAUGAGACUUAGAGAUCUCCUUGCCCCCAUAUAUGAGUUUUUCCAAUUGAAAUAGUUUUCAGAACAGUAAUAAAACGAUACUGCUUUGCAUGCACCUCCUUUCCAUGACUUCCUUGUGACCAGCUGCGUUCAAUCAGUUCAUCAUUUUGACAGUCUGAUAUAUAGUUGUGAAAAAUAUUAAACUGAAUACCAUCGCCCUGCCAGCAAAAAUAUGCAUAAGAUCAAGUAACAUAUGUUUGAGUCAAGUGCAGGCAUCAGAUGGUACCGAAUUCCACAAUAUAAAAACUGGUAGGCUGCAAUUCCAUGGUGGUGUUCCCUUCUCCCCCAAAAUUGAUACCCCAUUUCUCUUCUAGCUUUCCAGCAGAAUGCCAGUGUUACCCGGCCACCAUAUUGAGUAGACUUGGACUAGGCAGAUUUGAAUUCAAAUUCAAAUUCCUGCUGAGCCAUUAAGUUUGGGUCAAUCAUUACCUAACCUACAUUACUGGGUUGUUGUGAUGAUAAAAUGUAAGCCAUCUAGGGCUAUGUAAGUGGUCAUAACACUAAACUAAUGUGCUGACUGACCAUAACCCAGCAAAUUAGUUACAGUAUGUGCCAAGUGGAGAUCUUAUUUAUUUAUAGCAAAAUAAAUAAUAAAUAAUUGCCUCCACUCGUCAGCCAAAAAGGCCCUCAGAACAUCUCACAUGAGAUCUAUAAAAAGAAGACAGCCCUCACCCUCAGGUAUACAGCUUAAAAGACAUGACACAUAAGGAAAAAUAAAUGAGGUGGGAAAAGGAAGACAAGCAAAUUCAGUCUCCAAGUUACAUGGCAGUGCUUUAUAAUGUGUUACAAAGAACCUGCUGCCUUUAUGUAUACUGCUAGCCUCCUGAUUCCAUAAAUCUCUCAUAUUUCCUGGAGAAAUUGUGCACUGCAAUGCAAAAACUCAGGCAAGACAACUACAGCUGGUAUUUGAUUUUAAUUGAUUGAUGACAUACUCUCACUGGAUAUGCAUAUCAUAUGAUAAUGCCUCUCUUUACCUACCUGAUGUCUAAGUUUAAAGAGAGGAAGCGGCAUAACAUAAGUUUAGGAGCAGAUAUCUGCACAUGGUGCUUGCUCAGUACAUAAUUUUGCACUCAUCACCUAUGGCAGAACAUUUAGAUAUGAGUAGUGUGCACAACUUUGAGUUCCUCUCCCAGUAUUCUAGAAAAUGUAAACUCUUCCCCUUGAAACUGAAACAAUUGAUUUUGUCACCUGAAUACUACAUAUUGCUGUAUUCAACUGAUAGAUAAAAAAGAUAUUGCCACAUGCUUCCCAGUCUCUCAAGAAGGGAAAGGUCCCUACUAGGGCACCCGCUUCCCUUUAGAUGGGAGAAUCCUGGAUAUUUCCUAUGGUAUUCUUGUGAUAUUUGCUUUAUUUACAGAUAUAUAUACAAACAAAGCAUAAUGAUGUCAGAUUUCAAAGCAGGCACAGCCUGUAUCUGAUUACCAGAGAACAGCUGUGACAGCCCCUUCUAGCACACUGUUGACACAACAAAUGUACGAAGCUGUGGGUGACUGCCAUGGCCAUACACUGUUCCCUUGCCUCUCCCCUCUUCCCAUUGUGCACUGGCUCUGGCAUGAAAAGCUUGGUUUACAUUAAACCAGAGUUUCCCAUUACACUCAAACCAAGGAACUCUGGUUUAAUGAGCCUGACCUCUUCACUGACAUUAAGUUACAGUUCCCUGGUUUCGGAAUUUAGAAUCCCAAUGCUGAAACCAGCAUGUGACGGGAGGGAAGGAGGGACAUGAGAGGAGGGCAUGGCCACAGUGUUCAUCCACCACUUUGUAAACCAUGUUUUUUAUGUAUCGCAAUCUGAAUUGGAUUCACACUAGCAACUUCUGGCUACAAAGCUUCUUUUGUGCACCGUUCAUCAUGAACUUUGCAUGCUGUACUUGGACAACAGUAGACACAGGUUUCUUACUCCAGUAGCAACAUGUUUGUCUCAUUUGGAGAGAUGGCUUGUCUGUUAGUGGCUUUGUAAGUAAAAAUAAAAAUGCAGAUUUGUGAAGAGCAACACAUGUGUGUAAUAGACAAGUAGAUGUGUUUAUGCAUGUAUAAACGUCUAUUAUGCACUGUGGAGAAAUACUGUAUUUAUGUCUGUUUAUAUUUUGAAGAGGAAAUAUUUUAUGAUUGCGACUCUCAGCGGUCAAGGCCUUGUACAACAUGGCAAGCCUAGUUAGCAGUACAGAUAGGUGACAGGUUCUGAAAGGGGAGAGAAAGCAUGGAGAAAAUACCAUACUUUUUACAGCAUGCACUACAAACUCCUUGUGGUGCCUGUUUCAUGGGCACUGGGCCCAAACAUGUGUUGCCCAGAUCACUAUACUAAAGACAGAAGAAUAUAGCAGCUCCUUUAAAUGACACUGAAUAAAGGAAGGGCAGGAACUGUGACCCCCUCUCCUUUUUCUACAAUAGCUGCUCCCUACUUAUGGCAAUGGGUUGUCUGAAAUGGUUCACCACAAGCAGAAGCUUGCAAUUUUCAAAGGCAAGGGUUUGAGGGUGGCACUCAAAAUCGCAAAUUUGGAUUGUGGUGAAUGAGUGAGACCACAAGCAGGGGGAAAGCAGCUGUUACAAGCAGGGUGGUUGGCUGCACCAGCUCAGAAAGCACAAUCCUAUAUAUCUGCUGAGGAGGCCCAUGGAUUUCAGUGAGGCUUACUUCCACAUAAGUGGGAUUGCAACCUGAGUUUGCUAUGGAGAGUAGUAGUAGUUAACACAAUUGUCUGAAAUUCCCUAUGUCCAGUUUCUGGAUGUUAUAAACAAUUUCUAAAACUUAGGUAAAGGUAAAGGGGCCCCUGAUCAUUAGGUCCAGUCGUGACCGACUCAGGGUUGCGGCGCUCAUCUCGCUUUAUUGGCCGAGGGAGCCAGUGUACAGCUUCCGGGUCAUGUGGCCAGCAUGACUAAGCCACUUCUGGCAAACCAGAGCAGCACACGGAAACACCGUUUACCUUCCCACCUUUUUAUAUACUUGCACUUUGACGUGCUUUCAAACUGCUAGGUUGGCAGGAGCAGGGACCGAGCAAUGGGAGCUCACCCCAUCACGGGGAUUUGAACCGCCAACCUUCUGAUCGGCAAGUCCUAGGCUCUGUGGUUUAACCCACAGCGCCUUCUUCUAUUAAUUUCUACCCUUUCAUUCAGGAUGGAGACAGACGCUGCAUACUGUGAGUGGUCACAACAGAUUCUUCACUUACAGUGCCAAGCUGGCUUUGCAACUAGUGGUACAAACAAUCACACCAGCAAGCUGAAUACUGGAUGGGUAAGUGAGUCAGCCCUUAUUAUUGUGCUCCUCCUCUCAUGCUUCAGGUGAAUUGUGCGUCUUUUCAGAAGUUCAUACAUUUAUGUUUAUAGAGUGAAUCUCCUUCAUCCUACAGUUUUAAAGCUGUUCCAGCAAUUGGGUAAGAGGUGUAUCGGUGAUGUCAGUGGAACUAGCCAGUACGUGCCCAUCGCUGACAUAAUGCGAUCAACAUCAGGGAAACAAUCAGCUUUUGCUAAGUUCAACCAGAAAGCUUGCCAAAGCCCUGGCAAACUUAUUUGACCGAAGAUCACACCGGGAAAUAAAAGUGAUGCAUUUCUAUAGAACACGUCAAGGAUGCUGUCAGCCCACCUUAUGCUGCAUACACAGACCAUCCUGUACAAUCCUUCAUCUGUCUCCACUGCAGACAGGUUUGUCAGGUCCACUGCCAAGAUACUAUCCAUUCACUGGGCUACAAAUGCUGUUCUUCGCAAGUCCUGCUAUCAGUGAACACUGUUUAGGAAGUGCCAAUAUUAUAUGAGUGAAGCUCUGUACAGUACAAAUAAAUACCAAGCAAAAAGAACUAAGAUUCAAACACUGCUGAGGAAUGGCAUCUGCUUUGUAAAAGACAUCCAAAUGUUCUUAAGAAAUGUUCCCACUGCUCCUUUAAUCAGAGCGCAUUCCUCCAGCCAUCUGGGAUAUUCAUGCGAACCAUUCCAACGAAGCCAAAGUAGCGUUGUCAUUAUGAUGGCUCAGAAUUUCUUGUUUUUUAAUACCACCAAGGUUGGCUCCCUUUUUGUGCUUUCUUCACAAUGCUUCUGAACAGUUCCUCUGAUCUGUAUAAUGAAAAUGUCAGAUGAGGGAUUUGGGUCCUCCUUUUUGCAGGGUGCAAUAUAUGCUAUGUUAAGGCCUUUAGGAACACACAAAGAUAUUUUGGGUCAUUGUACUGAAAAUUGUAGCAACAUGUGCAAAUGGGUUGGGCUUUGGGGAAAGCUGGGUCUCUGGUUUUCUUCAAGGGCUGUGGUCAGAGCUUGAGUCAGCACCUGGCAUUUCUUGGGCAGCUAGUCUUGGCAACCUAGAAGCUUUCUCUUUCUCAUUUUCAUUCUUCCAUAUACUCCUGCAGUUCCUGGUUUGUGGACUUCAAGUGCAAGUAGAUGCAUCUUUCUACAUGUAUGAAUCCCAUAGACUUCUGCUUCUGAAGUCAGAUCAGGACAGAAUCUGACAUCAUAGCCGUUGCUUGCUGCCUUGUCCCUCCUCCUCUAUCUCCCAGUAAGGAGCAGCAAUGCAACCAACCAAAGGCCAGGUGGGCAGUGGCACUCCAGCAUACUGUCUGCUACUAUGGGCAGAAUUUUGUUGUUGUGCUUGUCCCUCUCCAUUCUUCCUGGCUUAAAAGAUGAAUCACACCUACCUGCCUGCCUGCCUGCUGUUCUCAUAUGUGAAUGUAGAACUUCACCUAGGAUGUCCUUGCAGAGCAAUCUGGGCAAAGAAAGCAACUGCAUACAAAUGUUCUGCAAGUAGAAACCAGGACAGAAACGAAAAAUUGUGCCCUGUGGAUUUCACAGAACCAUAGAGCUGGAGGAGGCCUUGUAGACCAUCUGCUCCAACCCUUUGCUCAGUACAAGGAAAUCCAGGGUACAAGAACCCCCAACAGAUGGCUGCCUGUCUCCACAAGGCUGGCCCAAGAAAUUUUGCUGCCCAAGGCAAAGGACAAAUUAGUGCCCUCCCUCCAUUCCAUGUACAAACACCUGCCCUCAGCAUCUGCUGCCUGAGGUGGCUUGCUACCUCACUCUGCCUAAUGGUAGGACUGAACCUCUGUCUGAGGACCUCUACUGAGGGAGAAUUAGUGUACCUUAAUGUACCUAUGACUCAUUGUGAAUCUAUGUGUGUUCUUCAGUUCAAACACAGACUAGAAGCAUGGAUAAAAAUCAAAAGCCUGAUAAAGAGGAAUAGCCUCCUGUAAACAGAGGUGUCUUUUUAUGCUCUGAGUUGUCCUGAAACUAGGUAGAACACUGGAGAAUGCCUGGUGGGAUUUCAAAGCAUGCUUGAGCCUGCCUCUGUAGCCAAGAAGAAUUCCAUUCCAAGGGGAACUGGGAGAGAUGGCGCUUUCCAAACUCUGAAUAACUUCUGAUUGAAUCACUUUGAAAAUGUAAAGAACAGUGGGAGUUAAAGAUUUCCCAGAAUGGGGAUUUAUGAAAAGCAGAAGUUUUUAGCGCAACGUUUACCGUAGAACUUCUCUUUUGUUCAGUAAACAGCUGAUGAACUUGACCUGGAUUUGAACAUCAGAUUUUGAAACCCCCUCUGUCUCACAAUAGAAUUUCCCAGCAUAAGAAAAUAUGAAACUGUGAGUUUAGCCUUUGUCCAUCAUAGGAACUGUAUCAACUUCAGACAUAAAAUCAUAAUUCUGAAGAAAGAGAUUGUGUGUGUGUGUGUGUGUGUGGUGCAAAAGUACUCACAGCACUGAAAAACAGCCAUUGGCUGCUUCUCAGAAGUUAUCAUUAAGCAGAAAAGGGAUUUUCAGGUGUGUGUUCAGUAUACACGCAAGAGAGCACCACAUAUACAAAAACCCUAGCAUAUUUACAUGUUAAACACCCAUCCAAAGCUGUCUUCAAUUUUGUGUUCUACUUCGGUUUAUUUAGUUUUGUGUUCCAGGUGUACAUUGGGAAAUAAAACACCUCGGAGCUUUAUGCAGGCACCACCAGCAUUAUCUUCCAUGUUUGUAUCUCCCAGGUUAUGUGGGAAGAACAAAAUGACAAAAUCCUUUGGCAAUAUCCAGUCCUUCCAUCUUUCAUCCAUGUUCCUUGGACCUUCUUGUCAUAUGUUUGGAAGGGCAUUUGCAAUUCAGUCAUGUGCCUGGAUCCUUUUAUAACCAUGAGGGUGCAGGCUGUGACCUUUAAAGCCCCAAACCAGUUUUCCCCAGCCUGGUGAUGCCCUCCAGAUAUUUAAUAUUUGAUCGCCAGCCAUGCUGGUUGGGGCUGAUUGGCGGGUACAAGGUUGGACAAGGCUGUCCUAAAAUGCUUGGGCAUCAUCUUCCGUAUGAAGCUGUUUAUGAAGCUGAGGCUCUUCUUGUAAUCCCACCUGUUUGAGAGGUGUUUGAGAGAUGAACCCCAGAGAGACAUGUCUGACCUCCUCUUCCCUUAUUUUUAAGCAAGCACUAAACAUAGUGUUGGUUUGUUUCUUUUCUUUGUGUUGUUUGACUAACUGCCUUUUUAUUAUAUCUUAAACUUGUGUUAUUGUUCUGUUGUUUUAUUUCGUUGUAUGGUAUCUGCUUUAGAUUCUGUUAUAAAAUCAAUAAACGCAUUAGCGUUCCUCUUUGAACUUGGUGUCCAGUGGUUAGAGUAUUUUGAAGGCCUUUGGCAUACAAUUGGAUACAGGUUGAUUUUAUUAUAAUUACAUCUAUGCUCUUGGCCUCUGACCACUGAACAACCAUGAGACUAUAAAGGCUUUAGAAGGAACUACAUCUCAGUGAAACUGUGGAAAGGAUUUUGCAGCUCUGCAUUCCUUCUAGGAUUAUCCAGCAGGAGAUAAAAACCACAUAAAAGGGCAUAUUUCUUUUAUAUAUGCUGAUAUAUGUAAAUGUAUUCCAAAUAAUAUUUUGCCCGUUAUAAUAUAUAACUCAUUUGAAGCUGAGCUAUAAAAAUCACCAUCCAGAUGGAACCAUAACCCUUAGUUCCUAGCAAAGUCUAUAGCAGGGAUGGGGAAUUUGUGGAGCUCCAACUCCUCAUCAAACCAUAAUGGCUCAUUGUCAGGGAUGAUAGGAGUUGUGGUCCAGCACACACUGGAGGACCAUAGACUCUCCAUCUUUGGCCUAGAGAGUCUUCCUUCUUGCUAUCACUAUGGAUUUUCCUCAGAAGAAGUUUAAAGACCUGUAACCAUGGAUCUGUAACCAUGAAUACAAGUUCUGAGCCUUCUGAAGAAAGAAUUUUCUUAGUUCUUGUCUUCACCCUGUGGAGACAUAUCCUGAUCAUCAUGAGAGAAACAAGAAAAAUGCUCAGUAUCUUAGAGACUAAUUAUUGCCAUUAAGCCAUGAUGUCUAAAAAGCCUCAUAAUAUUAUGCAGCUCCAUUAAAUAAUAAUAAUAAAUUACUUGAUUCCUCUGUGGCAGUUCUCGGAAGACUGCUUUGAAGAUUUACUUCUCACUUAAUUCAUGUCAUAGUAAAUGACAAAAAUAGCCAGCUACAUUGCUUUAUAUCAGCUCCCCACUUCUGUGAGUGUUUGGAAAUUCCCUGAGUCCAUUUCCUUGUUGGGAGCAGGAGCAGAGAGAGAGAGAGAGAAAGAGAGCAUUGCAAAGCUUUCAAGUUUUUGUAUCGCUAGAAAUAUACACUAGGAAUGGGUGGGUCAGCCUAUUUCCGUUCUGUGUCAGUUCUGCAUGUGCCUAUUGAUAUUUCUAUCCUGUUCUUUGCUGAUCUUUUUUCAAAGAACAAAAAAUGCAUGUACACAUUUUGUAUAUACAUGCAUUUUGUACACAUUCUUCAUUUACAAUUAAAGAUGGGGGAUUUUCUGAAUCCAUUUAAAGAAAAGAAAAAAAUGCUGUUAAAUUGGCCACUUUUCAUCCAGUUUGGGUGAGGCUUCUUCUUCUGGCAAGUUGCAAGCCUCAGACUUUCUGAGGAUGUGGAUAUGAUAGCAAGCAGAUUAUCAACGAUUAAAGCCAGGCCCAGCUCCAGGUUUUUAAGGGCCCUGGGCAGGAAGGACACGCUCAGUGCAGGUACCUGACAGCACCAUGAGGCUUUCCCAGUGGUGCCUUGGAUUCCACCUUAGUAGCCAGCAAACGUGGUGGUGAUGCUGAGCGGAUCACCAGUCCAGCGCAGCAUGCCUAUACUCAUCAGCAGUGUCCUCUGAAUUAUGCCAGGGCCAGAAUAAUUAUGACAAAAGCACCUGUGAGCACUUUAUUCAGUAUCACCACCAAUUGCCUUGCACCAGGUUGGGGUGCCUGGCAGCAGUGCUAUAGUUGGACAGCUGCUGGUGACUGAGUGGCACCAGUGCACUGGAAACAAGAAUGGCCUACUUAACAUGGCAGCGUUGGAAACAAAUCACAAGCUCAGUGUUAAAGAUCUCCAAAAUAGAUAAAUUACAUUGUCCCUGUAUUUAUUGGGGAAACUGAACAAUCCACAGAAGGAAGGCCUGGAGAAAGCACAAUUGUGUCUCACUGGGAAUGAGGAAACUACUGCCAUGAGUUGAGAGGCUUAGUGAGGGGAAGACUGCUCCUCAGACAUUGUGAGGGCCAAUCACAAUGGGAUCAGCAGCUACAGUUUUGCUGAGUGGGGGAAAGAUAAUGGGCAAGUCAUACUCUAAAAUGUUCACCUUUUCCUUCUGAUGUGGGCUUUUGUUUUGUUUUGUUUCUUGCGGCUCCUUUAAGUCCCCUUCUCUUUCCUAUUGACAUGGGGUUAUGUGUUGCUUGUCUCUCAGCCAGCAACAUCCAUUCCACCAGCAUGCAUGGAAAGGGAGUAAUUUCCUCAGCAGAGGAAACCUCUUUUAUUACUCGGUAGGCCUCUCUUGGUUCCGAUACUUCAGUUCUUCCUGGUUCACACAAUCGGCCAUUAGCUGCUGUUGACAGCGUCCCUCAACUGAGUCAACUAAAACAGUCAGGAGGGGAAGGAAGGGGAUCACUUGUCUUAAAUGCAAGUUGGCAGGUGACUAUCAGGCACAGAGUGCUACAGUAUAGUGCUAUAUCGGUUUACGAACAGCCCUGUUAACGAACUAUUCAGUUUACGAACUCCGCAAAACCAGAAGUAGGUGCUCUGGUUAGCAAACUUUACCUCAGUCUAUGAACAGAAGCCGAAUGGUGGAGGGGCUAUCAUACUCAACCUAUCAAGCAAGAUGAAAUGGUGUAUCUGAGAUAUCCAUGUCUGAAUCUAUCUAUAUAAUUGAAUGCUGCAGUUCUUCAGAAGUCACAAGCCUUUCAACUCUGCAUGUUAUUUUUUUCAGGGAUGGGAACUGACAACCAAAGCAAAAUGAAAUUGAAUAAAUUAUUUCUCCAAUUUCUAGAUUGUAGUUAAAACCAGAAGUGCUGAAGGGAUAAAGGAGACAGUAAGAGACCAAGUCUUGUGAAAUCCCUACAGGGAGUAGAAGAGACAGAAAGAAUCACCAGGGAGAGAGAUUUAUUUCAGCUGAGAUGCUUGCACCUUGAACAAAGCUUUUUAGUGUCACAAAUAGCUCCAUAGCAGAGGUGGGAACAUGGAUUGGUAAGCACAACACUGGUAGGGUCUUAUAGUCAUAUUUGCAGAAGAUCAGUGUAGUACAGGGGUUAUAGUGUUGGACAAAGGCCAGGAAGACCUAGGUUGAAAUCCCCACUCAGUCAUGAAUCUCACUGUGUAAUGUUGGGCCAGUGUCACUAUCUCAACCCAAGUUAACUGAUAAUAGUUGUUGUGGGUAUUAAAGGGAGGGAGGGAGAAUCAUGUGGACCACCUUGCAGAACAGACAAGACAAGGAUGCAAUCAAUAAUAAUGAGGAGGAGGAGGAGGAUACAACAUAGAAAUAUAAGGAGAGCCCUCCUGGAUGAGAUGAACUCCAGCAUCUUGUUUCCCACAGCGGCAAACCAGAUGCCUAUGAGAUGAGAGAUUGUUUCUUUAGCAUCUAUAAUUAGCACGGAGAGGGAUCUACUUCCCUUCAGGUCUGAAUGAACCUUCAAAGGGCCUCUGAACAUCAGCUGGUUCAAAUCAUUGUUUUCUUUCACACAGUGGAGGGAUCAAGGCUCUGUCAUUUUUGAACUAUGUUGCACUUCUUCUAGAGUGACUAUAUUCAGGUACAUUUCACCAUGUUGCUAUGGCAUCCUUUGCUCAAAGGAGGUCUUCUGGUGAUCCCAGAAUAAAGGGUGGGAGGUACCAACACCAAUUUGCUGGCAGUGUCUUCAGUGUGAGCACCAUUAGGGCAAACAAGCCAUAUGCAAGGCACAUCUGAUCUCUUGUACAUCUCCCAUUCAUUCCACUGAAGCUUUCAUGAGACAGAGGAGUGAAUAUUGCACAGAAUAACCAAGCUGCAUUAGCAAUGCAAAUAUGUUGCUGGUUUCAGGUUGGGUUUUAAUAACAAGGCUCUUAACACACCGUUGACAAGACAAUGCCAGCCAUUUCAGCACCAGGGAAUCCAUUAAAAUGGAAAUAAAACCGUUCUAUCGGAAGUGGUGGGGAGACGGAAAAUCCUGUGUUAUGUUUAGAAAUUACUAGUUAACUUAUGCUACCCUUGGAGCUAUGUAGGGACUAAGUAAAAUGUCCACCUUUGAGACUGUUGGAUGCUUUUCAGAUUAACAGCAUUAUUUCUUUCAAAAACACUGUCCAGAAUUAUCUUUGUUUUGCUUUCAGUUUAUUAAUUCUGCCCCAUCUUCUUGCCUGUUUCAUCCCCCUAGAACUCACUACUAUCUUUUUUUUUUUUUAAGAAUAUUUAUUCAAAUUUUAAGAUUACAAAAAAAGAAAAAAUAAAGCAAGAAAAACCAAUCACAUACAUCUUACAAAAGAAACACACCAUACAAGAAAAAAAAAGAAAAAAAUACACAAGACAAAAAGUCACAAUAACAAAUAACAAAAGAAGAAUUCAAAUUAAACAAACCGUUUUCCCAUUUACUUAUUUCCGUGACUUCCUCUCACUUCUCUGCUUUGUAUUCUAAUUCAAAUUGUAUCUCCAGCAAAUCCUUCUAACCUUCUUUUCAUUCACUUAUUUUAACAUUUUAACAUUCAAAAAUAUUUAAUUCUCCUCUAUCCUUUAGUUUACACUUCAUAUUUACUUAAUUCCAUUAUACUCUGUCUGCCAAUACGGUCUAAUAUUUCUUCUCCAACCUUUCCUAACAUUCUUUUUAUGUUACAGUGAUUCUGUAGAUAUGUUUUAAACUUUUUCCAAUCUUCUUCCAUCAACCCUUCUUCUUGAUCUCGGAUUCUUCCGGUCAUCUCAGCCAGUUCCAUAUAGUCUAUCACUUUUCUCUGCCAUUCUUCUCGGGUAGGCAAUUCUUGUGUCUAGAACUCACUACUAUCUACCCACUUAGCCUUCUUAUAUUUCAAAUGUUACCAAAACAAACCUAUGCGCAUAGUCAGUGCCCUUUGUCAGUGUGUGAAAAAAGCAUUGCAAUAAUCUCUGUCCUAGCACAAAACUUACCUACCUAGAUAAAGCAUUUAUCUAUCUAUGUUUGUUUUGACGAUAUGGGGCAACUGCUAUCAUGUCCCCAAGAUUGCUUCAGGCUCUUUGGCACUAUGGGGAGCUUUUGGCUGUCUUCUGUAACAUUUGCCUUCUUUAAGUUGCUUGAGUCAUCUGGGGUAGAGCAGUGUCGGGGUGUAUGUGUCAUAGGAAGUAGUCUGAGGUGAGCCAGGAGCCAUGAACCAGGGCUUAUGAGACAAGCCAGUAGGCAGGACUGGAGAAUAAACAGGGAUCUAAAAGGCAAACUUUUGGUCAAAGGCACAAUCAAGAAAAGCCGCUCCCCUUCCCCUGGGGGGCGGAGUUGCUGGAGGGUAUCUGGGACCUCCCUGUGACCCAGGAGUGGGCAGAGGGAUGCCGCCCACGUCAUCAGGACUCCCAGCCACAUCACACCCCCCAGCUGACCAAUCAGGUUAGCCAGGGGGCGUGACCACAUGCCGUUUAAACCGCGGCACUGCUAGAGGGGGUGGCCUCAUUUCGCCUCCUCUUCAUAAGCCUUGUUUAUGGGAGGGGAGGUUGUUGCCUCCGCCUGACCCUCCUCGCUAAGGGUAUCCCCUUAAAGGGAUCCAGGGUUGUGGAUCCUGUCCGAAGCCUGGGCGUGGGCUAGGACCAUGCCACGACCCCAUCGGGGACCCUGGGGGUGCUCUUAAUUGAUGUAUAUCAUAGGGCUCCCCCUACCCUUAAGAGACUUCCUGUGGACAUGCAGGAAUCAGGAUAUAGUCUGUUUUCACCCAAUGCCUAAGCCAAACCGCUCACACCUGUAACCAAUAAAGUUGUGGCCUAAUUUAUCCCAUUAACCCAAAAUAUUUGUGUCCGUGUGUUUAUUAUCUAAGGGAACUGCAGGGGCCCGGGGCCUUGUCACGCAAAGAGAGUCGAGGCCGAAGGACAAACCAGUAGGCAGUCUCAAGGAACAACACAGAAGUCAGGACCGAAGAACAGCCAAUGAUACAAGAAUACGC
rnacentral:lncRNA from 1 species